rnacentral:rRNA from 1 species
UACGAAGGGUGCAAGCGUUAAUCGGAAUUACUGGGCGUAAAGCGUGCGUAGGCGGUUUGUUAAGUCUGUUGUGAAAUCCCCGGGCUCAACCUGGGAAUGGCGAUGGAUACUGGGCAGCUAGAGUGUGUCAGAGGAUGGUGGAAUUCCCGGUGUAGCGGUGAAAUGCGUAGAGAUCGGGAGGAACAUCAGUGGCGAAGGCGGCCAUCUGGGACAACACUGACGCUGAAGCACGAAAGCGUGGGGAGCAAACAGG